UUCUUGGAAGCCUUGGGCACAGAACAAGGAUAAAUGUGAUUAGCAGCAGUAUAUGCAGUUCCACCAACACCCAGUAGAUGGCGUAAAUAUAAACUGCUUCCAGGGAAAGUCCUCUGUGAGGCUUAGAAUCCUAGGAGAGCCAUUUAUCAUUAAAAGUAGAGUUUUGAUGGAAGGCUGAAGUUGUAUGAAGCUUGAGGCAGUCAGGAAAGUCGAUGUAUUUUAAUCUCUCCCAAACAACAUAGGAAAACACCUUCUGCCAGCACAACUCCAUUUAACUUUUGUUCAACUUCCUCAACAACAAUAACAACAACAACAAAAAGUGGUUGUCCCAACAGAAGAGCAGAAGGACAAAGGGGAAAAUAUCCAAAGAUCCAAAGUUGAGGAAAGUUUGCAUUUUAUGGAACAUUUUCACCAGAAAAGGAACUUCAGGCCCUACUGAACUGGCAACCCCAACGUUGAGGGAGAGUCCCGCCCUUAGAUUGCCCAAUGCGCUGGGUUGUGGUAAGACCAAGGCUUGUCCAAUUCCUGUCAACUCCAAGACGUGGAAGAAAUUCCUUGUGAGACUAGAAAGUCUAUGGAGAAGAGCUUGAACAUCCACGGCCCUGGUGUCUUCUUUGAGGUGAGUCGAAGUUCUCAUUCUACCUCGCACUGCACCCGUAGCAACAGGGACACGUGCAGGUGAGGGCGCGCACACCUGGCGUUCACACAUGCUCUGCGCGGAGGGCUUCCUCGUCCCCUCCUGCCCUCAACCCUGGAGUCCGGGAUUUCCCCGAGGAACAAAACAGGACCAGUCUGAGUG